GAAUAUAUACCUAUAACGUUACAAGAAUAACCUCGCGUAAGCAACAGAACCAUCGUUUCUCUCCUUUUUAACGAAAUAAAUUCAAUAAUAGUGGAUUUUACCAAAAAAAAAAUUGAAUAAAUAAAUCUAUUAAAGUAGGUAAAUUACGAAAUUUUAAAAACAAUUAUUGAAUUAGAAGACAGUUGGAAUAGGCAAGGUUGAAAUAAACAGAAAAAUUUGGUUAUGAUAUUUAAAGCAUCAUUAUACAUUUUGGAUGGAUGG